rnacentral:ncRNA from 1 species
AUAAAAAUUAUAUUAUAGUUUUAAAAUUAAUUUUAUUAAUAAAUUAUAUAUAAAAUUUAAUUAAUAUUAAAUAUAAAAAAUAUAUUUAAUAAUGAAUUCUGAAACAAUAAAUGAAAGUUUAAUUCGGUAAUUAAUAUAAAAUAAAGAUAAAUAUAAGUGCCAGCAAUAGCGGUUAAACUUAAUUUAUAAAUUAAUUAUUACUAAUAAUAUUGAUAUAAAAUUAAUUUAUAUUAUAAUUAAAUUUUUUAAUUUUAGGUGAAAUUUUUAAUUAAAUAAUAAUAAUUAUAAAUUUAUAAUAUUUAAAUAAAAAAAUUUAAAAAAAAACUAGGAUUAGAUACCCUAUUAUAAAAAUUAAUAAAAAUAUUAAAUAAUUAAAUGUUGAAUCAUUAAAAUUAAAUAAUAUGGCGGCUUUUUAUAUCUAAUUAGAGAGACUUGUAUAUUAAUUUGAUAUUCCACGAUAAGAGAUACUUAAGUUUAAUUUAUGUAUUGUUGUUUUUAUAGUUUAAAUAAAUUUAUGAUUAAAAAUAUUUAUUAUAAUAGAAAUUCAAAUCAAAAUAUAGUAUAUUUAAGGUUUUUAUGAGUUUUAAUAAAUUAAAUUUUUGGAUAAUUUAUUUUAAUAUAAAUUUGAAAGAGAAUUUAAAAGUAAAUUAUAGUAAUUUCUUUAAUUGAAGAUAGUUCUAGAAAGUGUACAAAUCGCCCGUCAAUUUCAUUAUUAAGUUGAAAUAAGUCGUAACAUAGUAAAAGUACUGGAAAGUGUUUUUAGAUUU